rnacentral:rRNA from 1 species
UACAGGGGGUGCAAACGUUGCUCGGAAUUAUUGGGCGUAAAGCGCGCGUAGGCGGCUACCUAAGUCGGAUGUGAAAGCCCCUGGCUCAACUGGGGAAGUGCACCCGAAACUGAGUAGCUAGAGUACGAAAGAGGGUCGCGGAAUUCCCGGUGUAGAGGUGAAAUGCGCAGAUAUCGGGAGGAACACCAGUAGCGAAGGCGGCUCGCUGGGCCAUUCCUGACGCUGAGACGCGAAAGCUAGGGGAGCGAACAGG